rnacentral:lncRNA from 1 species
UAUGAUGAUCAUAAAAUAUAUUGGAGAGAAGACAACUAAUUCAACUUAUCUUUUAUUGUCUUCUUCCACAGGACUUCAGAUACAAGUAUAUGAAAGGGUGGAAAAAGACUUAAAAGUCAAGAAGAGUGAGAAAUGGAAAAAGAGCAACAGAUUGCCAUUGUCUAUGAUUCAAGGCAGAAUGGAACAAUGGAUACAACCCAAAAAUUGGAAAUGGGAUGGUAUGAGUUCAAGUCCUCCUUUUGACUCUAUUAUCUGUGAAACUCUUGGCAAAUCACUUCAUCACUGGACUUCAGCUAAUUCCAAUGAAUUUAUCUCCUAAGUUGUACAUGUAUUGUGAUCUCUCUUGGUGGAGGGUGUUUCCCAUGCUGCUGUUGUCAAAACACUUGGAAUCCAAUAUGAUUAGAAACAUAUGUGCUCUCUAACUGUGCCAUGAAUUCCCAAAGGAAGACUUUGGUUUUAAAUAUAAUGAAAACACAUUGAAAUAUUAUUUCUUUUUUAUAUAAAUCAUUUAACUGACUAAAUGUUUAUAAUUUGCAAACAUGUAUAGUCUAUGCAAGGUAUAAUUCAAGAUCUUAAGGUAUUUAUAUGCUAUGGUGCAUAAUGUAGGACUUCUUGGUUUGGACUUCAUUUAUUAUGACAUCUACUUUUUUUUCCAUAAUCUCUGCUAAUAUCACAAUGAUGUUUGCAUAGCAUUUUAAGUUUCACCAAGUAUUUUGCAUUUUAUUCAUUUGAUCUUCACAGCAAUUUUGCCAAGAGUGUGCCCAUUUUUAUCUCCAUUUUAUAGAAAAGGAAAAUGAGGUUUAGAGGAUUUAAGUGACUUGUC